AGGGAAAGAGGGAGGAAGGAGGUACACAUGUAAGUCGAGCGGCAGCGCGGCCUUCGGGUUGGCGGAGAGUGGAGAAAGGGUGAGUAAUGAAUUGGAAGAUGUAUAGUUGUGGGGGAUAACACUUUGAAAGAAGUGCUAAUACCGCAUACGUCCUGAGGGGGAAAGCGGGGGAUCGCAAGACCUCGCGCGAUUGGAGUGGCCGAUGUCAGAUUAGCUAGUUGGUGGGGUAAAGGCCUACCAAGGCGACGAUUUGGAGCUGGUCUGAGAGGAUGAUCAGCCACACUGGGACUGAGACACGGCCCAGACUCCUACGGGAGGCAGCAGUGGGGAAUUUUGGACAAUGGGGGCAACCCUGAUCCAGCCAUUCCGCGUGAGUGAAGAAGGCCUUCGGGUUGUAAAGCUCUUUCUGCACGAACGAAACGGUGGGCUCUAACAUAGUCCGCUAAUGACGGUACCUGAAGAAGAAGCACCGGCUCCCUACGUU
rnacentral:rRNA from 1 species